AUUUGUUGUUGUUGUUGUUUGCCGUUGUUUUAUCGCGGCUUCGCAUCACAUUCGCUGCGUUUUGUUGCAUGCAACACAGCAUUUAAUGACUUGUUGUACGAAAUGCACACGCACUUUUGAUUUGUUUUAAAUAUCAACAAAUAUUUCAUAUAUAUCAAAACAAACAGUUCAAAACAAUCACAAUUAAAAUAACAUUAAAAAAAAACACCAUUUACGCACGCACAAAGUGAAAGAGAGAAACGGUGCUAAAGUAACGCGACACUCGGAAGAUGAGGAUACAUUGUAUAUGGAAAACUAAACCACAAACGCAACAAAAACAAAAAUAAAGACAAGACAGAAAAACGCAUUGGAAGGCGUCUGCGUUGUUUUCGUCUUCCCGCUUCGCUACCACUCGCUGACGCGCCUUUCUCACAACUGACGCUGCCGCCGCCGACGCAGCCGUUGCUACAGCGGCGGCGACAUGGUCACGAUAAAAAUGCGAGAGAGCGAUUGGCGAGAGAGUGAGAGAACGAUCGACGCUGUUUGCUUCAAAACAGGGCUGGAAGUUUGAAUUUUAGUUGAAAAUUUACAUUUAAAGGUCGCAGCCCUGUUCUAUUCAAGAGAGCACGCCACAGUGUAGCCAAGCGACGCUGCCAAAUAGAAACAGUGCUACCCAUGCGCGUUGACAAAGCCACCGAAUCGACAAUACAAGUCGGCAGCGUGAGCGAGAUGGCGCGACAAAGUGCAAGGAGCGUGAGAGAGCGAGUCAAGACUCAGUCAUGCGAACACACAAAUGCACUGCAAUUGAGAAUAUGCCCAAACAUACCAACACAUAAACACUUUAAUGCAUGAAUAUAUAAAUAAAUAUGUAUAUAGUAAGCGCAUGUAC